GAUGAAGAACGCAGUGAAAUGCGAUACUUGGUGUGAAUUGCAGAAUCCCGUGAACCAUCGAGUCUUUGAACGCAAGUUGCGCCCGAAGCCACUAGGCCGAGGGCACGCCUGCCUGGGCGUCACACGCCGUUGCCCCCCCAUCUACUCCUUCGGGAUUGCGGGGGGGCGGAUGAUGGCCUCCCGUGCGCCUAGCCGCGCGGUUGGCAUAAAUACCAAGUCCUCGGCGACGCACGCCACGACAAUCGGUGGUUGCGAAACCUCGGUUGCCCGUCGUGUGCGUUCGUCGCGCAUCGAGGGCUCGAAAAAAUGCUCGGCUCCGGCUGGGCUUUCAACGCGACCCCAGGUCAGGCGGGGUUACCCGCUGAAUUUAAGCAUAUCAAUAAGCGGAGA
rnacentral:misc_RNA from 1 species